rnacentral:rRNA from 1 species
UACAGAGGUCUCAAGCGUUGUUCGGAUUCAUUGGGCGUAAAGGGUGUGUAGGUGGCGCGCUAAGUCGGGUGUGAAAUUUCGGAGCUUAACUCCGAAACUGCAUUCGAUACUGGCGUGCUUGAGGACUGGAGAGGAGACUGGAAUUCAUGGUGUAGCAGUGAAAUGCGCAGAUAUCAGGAGGAACACCGGUGGCGAAGGCGGGUCUCUGGGCCGUAACUGACGCUGAGGAGCGAAAGCGUGGGGAGCGAACAGG